UACGUAGGGCGCAAGCGUUGUCCGGAAUUAUUGGGCGUAAAGAGCUCGUAGGCGGUUUGUCGCGUCUGCUGUGAAAACUCGAGGCUCAACCUCGGGCUUGCAGUGGGUACGGGCAGACUAGAGUGCGGUAGGGGUGACUGGAAUUCCUGGUAUAGCGGUGGAAUGCGUAGAGAUCCGGAAGAACACCGGUGGCGAAGGCGGCUAUCUGGACCGACAUUGACGCUGAGGCGCGAAAGCGUGGGGAGCAAACAGG
rnacentral:rRNA from 1 species